rnacentral:rRNA from 1 species
AGCAGCCGCGGUAAUUCCAGCUCCAAUAGCGUAUAUUAAAGUUGUUGCAGUUAAAAAGCUCGUAGUUGAAUUUCGGGGUCAAUAAGUUGGUCAUGCCAAUGGUAUGCACUGGCUUUAUUGAUUCCUACCUCUUGACGAACUGUGAUGCCAUUAAUUUGGUGUUGCAAGGAAUCAGGACUGUUACCUUGAAAAAUUAGAGUGUUUAAAGCAAGCUUACGCUUGAAUACAUUAGCAUGGAAUAAUGAAAUAGGACGUUUGAUCCUAUUUUGUUGGUUUCUAGGAUCGACGUAAUGAUUAAUAGGGAUAGUUGGGGGCAUUAGUAUUCAAUUGUCAGAGGUGAAAUUCUUGGAUUUAUUGAAGACUAACUACUGCGAAAGCAUUUGCCAAGGAUGUUUUCAUUAAUCAAGAACGAAAGUUAGGGGAUCGAAGACGAUCAGAUACCGUCGUAGUCUUAACCAUAAACUAUGCCGACUAGGGAUCGGAUGAUGUUAAUUUUUAAUGA